rnacentral:rRNA from 1 species
UACGGAGGGUGCAAGCGUUAUCCGGAUUCACUGGGUUUAAAGGGUGCGUAGGCGGGCAGGUAAGUCAGUGGUGAAAUCUCCGAGCUUAACUCGGAAACUGCCGUUGAUACUAUUUGUCUUGAAUAUUGCGGAGGUAAGCGGAAUAUGUCAUGUAGCGGUGAAAUGCUUAGAUAUGACAUAGAACACCAAUUGCGAAGGCAGCUUACUACACAAUUAUUGACGCUGAGGCACGAAAGCGUGGGGAUCAAACAGG